AGCUUCAGUGCACUUUUUUUCGCAAUUCCCAAACAGCGCCGCGGUAUCCAUCUCGAGCUCGGCUGAGAACAAGAUGCAGGCAAUCACGAGAAAAUUAGGGCACCAAUCUCUGAAACAUUCACCUGCAAUUUCAUCUUUCAAGUCUCUCUAUCCCCCCUCUGAUGAUCAAUAUUACUGUUCGCGGUUCGCAUCUAACGUUGCCACCAGUGGUGGCGGACAUCUAGCUCGCAAGGGAACUGGUGGAAGAUCAUCUGUUAGUGGAAUCGUUGCUACAGUCUUUGGAGCUACUGGAUUUCUUGGGCGUUAUGUCGUGCAAGAGCUUGCUAAAAUGGGCACUCAAGUCUUGGUCCCUUUCCGUGGAUCCGAGGAUUCUCCUCGUCAUCUCAAGUUAAUGGGUGACUUAGGACAGAUUGUUCCUAUGAAAUACAAUCCCAGGGAUGAAAAUUCAGUUAAAGCUGUGAUGGCAAAAGCUAAUGUUGUGAUCAAUCUCAUUGGAAGGGAAUAUGAGACCAGAAAUUACAGCUUUGAGGAAGUCAACCACCAUAUGGCUGAACAGCUUGCAAUGAUCGCCAAAGAACACGGUGGUAUCAUGAGAUUUAUACAAGUUUCUUGCUUGGGGGUGUCUCCUACAUCCCCAUCUAGAAUGCUCAGAGCUAAAGCUGCGGCGGAAGAAGCUGUUGCACGCGAACUUCCUGAGGCGACCAUAAUGCGACCAGCAGUGAUGAUUGGUACAGAAGAUAGAAUUCUGAAUCCAUGGGCACACUUUGCAAAGAAAUAUGGUUUUAUCCCUCUGUUCGGAGAUGGUUCGACAAAAAUUCAACCUGUAUUCGUUGCUGAUGUUGCUUCUGCAAUUGUUGCUUCUUUGAAAGACAAUGGUAUCAGCAUGGGAAAAGUUUAUGAACUUGGUGGCCCAGAUGUUUACACUAUGCAUGAAUUGGCAGAGCUCAUGUUUGAUAUGAUCCGUGAAUGGCCACGCUAUGUGAAUGUUCCUUUUCCUAUUGCUAAGGCUAUUGCAUCUCCUCGAGAAUUUUUGCUUAAAAAGGUUCCAGCUCCAAUGCCUACCCCUACGAUAUUUAAUCUGGAUGCAAUUGAAGCCAUUAUCACUGACAACAUUGUGUCAAAAGAUGCCUUGACUUUUGAAGAUCUAGGGCUUGCGCCCCAUAAGGUGAAGGGUUAUCCGGUUGAAUUUCUUAUCCAGUAUCGUAAAGGUGGACCAAAUUAUGGAUCAACUGUUAGUGAAAGAGUGUCUCCUGAAUCUUAUCCAUGAAGUUCUUUGGUCUAGCAUGAACAGCAUUUGGAUCUUAUUUGAAAGAUUGGUGCAGUUAAUUUCAGCUUCUUUUACAAGAUUUCUGGAGUACAGCCGCGAUAACAGGAAAAUAAAUGCAAAGGGAGUUUUUCAGCAAAUGCAUGUUGUGUAAUGCUGAGACCUACACCCUUUUUGGGGGAAAGAUGGAGUUAACUAUGAUUUUAGGUGUUUUUUGUGCCGUUGUCUCAAGGAGAUUGUAUUUUCUCUUUCGAGUUCACUUGUGUGUUCUCCCUUUUGCAUUUCACCUAAGUAGUAACCAAAAAAAGUUGGAACAUGAUUGUAGUGAGUGUCAGGGUAAAAAAUAUUAUUUCAGUGUAUUCCUUCUGACCAACUUUUGUCAUUGCUGUUCUUCUAUUUGGGUGUUCAAAUAUUUUAUAGCACCGUGUAAGUCUCCUAAAUAAACAAAAUACAUACUUAAAUACUUUACAAUGC